UACGUAGGGUGCAAGCGUUGUCCGGAAUUACUGGGCGUAAAGGGCUCGUAGGCGGCCAACUAAGUCAGACGUGAAAUCCCUCAGCUUAACUGGGGAACUGCGUCUGAUACUGGAUGGCUUGGAUUCGGGAGAGGAAUGCGGAAUUCCAGGUGUAGCGGUGGAAUGCGCAGAUAUCAGGAAGAACACCAACGGCGAAGGCAGCUCGCUGGGACGGUACUGACGCUGAGACGCGAAAGCGUGGGGGAGCGAACAGG
rnacentral:rRNA from 1 species